UUUUAAGGCACAGAAGUCAGAGAGAAAAUGAGAGAGCCAGAUGUUUGGAAGGGAUGCUGGGAAAUGCUUCAACGAAAGAUCUCUCCCACCCCAAACAAAAGCUUCCCCAAGGAUCUUUGGAGGCUUGCUGUCAUAUCUGACCGCAGCGCACCCACAGAACCCAAAAUCCCCCUGUGCCAAAGGAAGCGUUAAACCUCCACAGGGCUGCAGUAAGACUCAAGUUCCAAGGAUCGCUCACUGCCAGUGACGAUUAGAACAAUCUGAAAAUGUUCUUCAAAGAAAAAUGCACUCUUUUUUGUUGUAAGAGAGGUGUAAACGCCAGCCAAUCUCUUUUGGCACCCAGUACCGUACGAAGUGGUUUUGCCGUGCCACCUCUCAACAAAAAAAAAAAAGAAAAAAAGAAAAAAGAAAAAGAAAAACCACCCUCAAUGAACAUCCUCCAAGGACCAGCUUUGAAAGGGGGUUUUGCGUAUCAGGUUAACGCAUGCACUUGGCACAGCCCAACUUUCACACCAAGGCUCUGGGGUGCGGGGUGAUAAGAGCCAGGUUCUGUUUGUUAACAAUAAGGCAAUUAUUUCUUUGGUACUUCAUUGAGAGGAGGGGGGGGGAAUCUUACAACAAAGAUUCAAACAAGGAUUCCCUAGGGAGACAACGGAACUGGUAGGUUGGAAAAGUUUUUUGUUUUUUUGGUUUUUUUUUUUUUUCUUUAUUCUUUCUCAGGAGCAAACAUGGGAACCAUUGAAAGAAGAAGAACGAAAGCAAAGUUCGGGUGUUUGCUGUCUGCUCUCAGACACAGGCAUUUGACACCAUAAGGGAAGACAGACAGUAGAGACAGGAAAGCCCCACAGACGACGACGACAGUAAAUGGGAAAGGACGAAAAGUAUAGACGCGUAGGAAGAAAGGCAGGAGCAACAGAGAGAAGCAGGUGGAGCGAGGAAAGGCAGGAAGUACAGUCUGAAGCACUUCCUGUGUGUUUGGAAACUAACGCGGACCUUCCUGAGUAAACCCUAUAUCUGGGGGCAGGGAAAAGGGGGGGAGGGAGGUCCGGUUUUUUGUGUUUAUUUGUUUCUUGCUUUUUAACUCCUAACAGAAACUCAGCAUCUCCUUCCAUGUGCGAUGUGCUCGAGUCAUCACCGAGGUAUGUAUUCAGAGGUAAAGGAGCAGAAACACCAGAAACGGCUGGCAUCCUUUAACUUGAAGCUCUUCAGAAGAGAGGUAUGCAUGACUGUCAGCGGGGAGAAAUCCUUCCAAAGGCUUCCUGAAUGGGAUUUCGGCCUCUAGACCAAGAUCUCCUAAGUUUCCCUAGACCUCUCUAAUAGGCGACAAGUUUAGGCACCAAAUGCAAGGGGGACAUUCAGUAGUACUUCCCAAGGUCUUAGUAUGGCAGCCCCGCAGGAUAGUUUUGCUCAGCUGGUAAAACCCAAAAUAAACGGCAAGCAGUGACUUCCCAUAGAAGCAUGCCUCGGGAGCCCCACUUUCCGUCCCUGAGGAAGGAGGAGGAUUCUAGAGAGACUGAGAUCUUCCACAGGCAGACCGGUCCUCCGUCAAAGUGAGUGGUCACCAGCUCAUUGGCCUCAGAAUGACUUCAGAGAACCUCCAUGCAAUGAAACUGCAAUUCCUGUUGUUGGAACAGGCUAGUACCCUUGAUGUGAUGGGUCAUCGCCCUGUGGCCUCUGGGGUAACCUGCUGGUUCCAGUCACCAUUGAGAACAGCUAAACCUACUCUGGGAUAGCCUUGCCAGGGCCACCACGUUCCAAUUACACCUAGAUCGAUGCCAACUUCCCAUUGCUUCUUUCUGCGGUAUUCUUCAAGCACCCUGGCUUGCUAAAUCACCCAAGCUGCGUGUCAUGUUAUAGCUAUAUGAGGUAAGCUAGCCUGUGCCUCAACAUGGGGUUUUCCUUUCCAAGCUAGUUUAAGUCUGACAUCUUUAGAAUGGAUGUCACACUUAAGAAUAACUUCUUUACUGGGAAUUGUCAAGAAAUGGGGAGGCAACCGUUUCAAAGGUGGCAUCAGUUUUGAAAACCUCGGAGCCUGCCCCCGGCCCGCCACCCCCCCCCCCGGCCCCCGUUGGUAGGCAGGUAGCAGCCAUUGGAGUGAACGUUUGAGUAAGGCACAGGGGUCUCGGGAAAGUCAUGAGGGAAGACUUACCCCAAUGGAAACCCUACGAGGCUUUCUUCAUUGUCUAGUUCGUUUACUGCCAGUCUCACUGAUGGGAAUUAGACAGUUGCUUUAAGACCAAAAAAAAAAAAAAAAACUCCAAAGCCACCAUAAAAAUAGAAAAUGAUUGCUUCCUGUCAUGACCAAAUAUUAAACACAGUGCACACCUAAUGACUCUAUCCCUCCCCGGGGACAAAGCUUUAUGAACAAUAAAGUCCCCACGGGCCUUCACUGUUUAGGUUGAGGGGUCUCAUUAUGGGCUCCCUGAUCCAAUACCACUCACAAGCCCACUGGACACCACUGGAGGAGAAAGCCAGCACCCUGGAGUUACCAUCAGAACUCCUCCCCUGAAGGCAGAGCUUCAUUCCUCCAAGAGGGAACGGAAGGAAGAAAAGAGAGAUGUAAGGGAAAGGUGUCGGGGUGCAGGUAGCCAAUGGAUUAGGCGGGAACUCUACCCACUUGGCUGCAUUUUCAACUCUUUGAUUCUGAGACGGUUUCACUGAGCUCAGGCUGGCCUCAAAUUUGCCAUGUAGCAGCGCAUGACCUUGAAACUCCUGAUCUUGCCUCCGACUCCCCAGUGCUCAGAACGAGAGCCUUGCCACCUGGUAGGGUUUAUGCAAUGGAUGCUAGGGAUGGACCACAUCCAGGGCUCAGUGAGCGUUCUAGCAAAGGAAUCACAUCACCAACCCCUAGCCAAAACAUUACUGACUGUCAGAGUGGGACUUAAGGCUACAUCUGUCACAAGAGAGGUGCAGCAGUUGGAGAAACAGCAAGGGAAAUCCUAAAACAGGAGGCAGGAGGCAAGAGGCAGGAGGACAGGGACACAGGAGGAAAAGAAGAAACAAGAAAGACAGGGAAGAGGAGGGUACUACAAGGAAGUGGAAGAUUUUGGGGUGUUUUAAUUUUGUUUUUUAAUCUACCAUCUAUACCUUCUUCUGCAUAGGUUGAAGCUACACGACAACCAACACUCAUAGCCAGGUUUUUUUUCAAGUUCACUGCGUUAUCUGGACAUGGGUCUAAAGGGCAGCCCCUCCUCCUCCUCCUGUGAGUUAGCAUCUGGAUGCUCAGAUGUGUCCAACACUCCGAGCUGACUUAGAUGACCCGCAAGUGGACCCAGCAUUAAACAGAAGUCAAGUCUGGCUCUCGUUCAAACGUCAGCCUGGACAGAGCAGAGAGCAUGGAGCUUCCUUACCUCUUAGUCCCUGCCGUUUAUCACCGCCGCCUAAACGGUCCCACAUGUGGGAAGCACUGUGGAAGGAGACCCGGGGAAUGUGGAACAAAGGCUUUUAGAGAAGUCAGAAUGUGACUCGCCAAGUAGACAGGGGACUAAACAAAAGCAAUCCAGGAGAGGUGACAAGUCCAUAAAACAGGGUCUAGACAGCAUGAGACCAAGGCACCAAGAAACGACAAAAAAGAAGGGAAGAGACUGAAUGUGGGGGCUGGGAAGGAGUGAAUUUCUGUCCAGAACAAGAAACUGAGGAAGGGAGCUAAGGGUGACUUCUAAGCUUAAAUCCUGAUGCCUAUACUCUUUUAAAUAAUGCUUAAGAAUGAAUCGAAUGAAUCAACUUCUAUAAAACACAAGGUGAAGGAGUUAAGCCAUACAGAGAGAGAAAACACACAUAGAGAGAAAAGAUUUUUAAAGGCUCUGGGACCAGUCAGGGUCAUGUGUCAUCCUGCCUUCCCCACAAGCCUAGGAAAUCACACAUUACUUUCCUAUUCUUCAGAUAACAUGGAUUCCAUUAGAGUUACUGUAUAAAGUACAUGAUUCAUGGUUAUUUAUUGAAUUUCAAAUAAAUAAUAAAUAAAAUUUUUUCAGGUAACUUUAUUCCAAGGAUGUUGCAUGAGACAGACUUUACAGAAGAAGAAAAAAAGACUUCAUUGUUUCUCUGAAACUUAAGUUUAACUGAGAAAUACUUAUAUUUUUAAAAUAAUCCUGCUCAUAGAAUAUACAAAUCUAUCUGGGUAUCUUAUAGUUUUAUUUGCAAGUCCAUCUUCUAUGAGAAGGAAGAAAUGAAUGAAUGAAUGAAUGAAUGAAUGGCAGAGGAGGCUUCAAACUAAUUCUAGUUCCAGAUUUUACUGUGAUCAUUAUCAUACUAUAAGACUAAUGUUCACUUUAAGCCCUCAGACCACAUGUUCUAAGUCUGUAUUGAAUGUAUACUUAGUUAUUCUGAAAUAAGAAAAUGCUUUUUGCAUAGGAUAAAAGAAAUAUUCUUGACCAUGGAAGAAAUUGGCUACACAGAACAUUCUUCAUUAUCCUGGCUCUGCCCCAUGGUACAUGCUUAGAAGGUGGUGCAUGCCCCAGCCCUUCAGACCAGUUAAAAGCUUUACAAUUCAGUAUUGUAAUGUGAUACUCAAAAAGCCCACAGUUUCUCCUGUCCCUUGCCCAGGUCACCUCAGUGUUUGACCUGGGAGCUAGAGAGAAACCCAGAUGAGUCUUUGACCUGCCACCUGGCUUAUGAAACCAUUCAUCUAUAGAUGGGUUUUAUCCCUUGAAAUAUGGGGUGACAGUACCAGUAUGUAGUUAAAAAAUAAGUCGGGGACACCUUUGAGUGAACUGGAAAAAUACCUUCUGCACUCAUGCAGAUAAAACUUCCCAUAGAGACCCACUUCAGGGCUUUCCUGGAGGGACCAGGCACGAGAGCAUUUGCACCUACCAUGGUUGCAACCUCCCCUCAACACUGUCUUGUGAUCUGUCCUUUGAAAAAGCCCUGGCAUCAUAUGGGGCUCAUAGCAUACAGCUGUCAUCCCUGAAGUAUCAGCCUACACCCAGGGGUCCCCUUCCUGCAAAUGUCUCCAUCCCUGCCAUUGUAUCCAUGGAUGAAAAAUUUCUUCCUUAUGCCCGUCUCACAAGGUUUUGUAAUAAGGGAGAAACUGCUGUGUUGCACCCCAGGCCCGACUCUGUCUUCCUGGUAAUCUUUGUGGAGAAGAAAAAAAGUAAGUCUACGAUAGUCAUUUUAAGUCAAGAACAAAACCUUCCAGGAGGACAGUCGUUCAACUGAUGCAAAUACCUUAUCUUCGCAGAUUAUAUUGCUGCAAUAAAAAUCAUGACCACAAGCAACUUGGGAAGGAAAAGUGCUUAUUUCUUCUUAGAACUCUCAAGGCACACUGCAUCCCUGGGGAAAGUCGGGGCAAGAACUCAAGGCAGGAACUGCAAUGGAAGCAGUGGAGGAACCACUUAUUGGCUUGUUCUGUUUAUGUCCUUAUAUACCCCACAACCACUGGACACAGAUGGCACUGCGCGCGCACAGUAGGCUGAGCCUUCCCACAUCCAUCAAGGAAAUGCCGCAGAGGCUUGCCAAUCUUUCAGAGGCAUUUUUUUUUAAGCUGAGGUUCCCUCAUUUCAAAUGACUCUAGUCUGUGACAAGCUGACAAAACAAACAACAACAACAACAACAAAAACACUAACAAGUGCACACCGCAUACACUUGGGCUUAGAUGGGCCAUCGGACACCAAGCUCCCAUCUCCUAACUUCCUUUCUGAGAAAUGAGCCUCCAUUUUUUAUCUCCAGAUCAAUGUGGAAACAAACCCUCAAAGAAUAAUUCCUACAAGACUUUGAUCAACAUCCACAGAGUCCUUCAAGUCCUAGUGGGCAGGUCCCCAAGUCUCCAAGUCACGUAGACAAUAUUUUCUCAUCUCCUUGGCAUGUAUGUCUCAUCUCCCAACCAUGUGACCUGUUAGUUUCUUGGCUGAGUCAAAAAUAUACCCCAAAGAACUUACUCAGGCCCUUUUACCCAAAUAUAAAAAUUAAAGGCAGACUGGAGAGAUGGCACAGCAUUCAGCAUUGGGAGUGUUUGCUGCUCUUUCAGAAGACCCCAAUCUGAUUCCUAGUAUCCGUCUUGGGAAGCUGACAAUGGCUUGCAACUCCAGCUCUGUGGAACCCAGCACCCUCUUCUGGUACCCAAGCAUCUGCACACAUGUGGCAGAUACCCACACAAGCACAGAUAUAUAAAUACAAAGAAAAGAAAUAAAAUACCCACACAAGCACAGAUAUAUAAAUACAAAGAAAAGAAAUAAAAUACCCACACAAGCACAGAUAUAUAAAUACAAAGAAAAGAAAUAAAAAUAGAACAUAAAUAAAAAGAAAGUCACACACACACACACACAUCAGAAGUUCUAAAAGGUACCCUGUGUGUGUAAGUCUUACCAUACUAUUUGGGGGUGAGGGGGUGAGGUUGAGCCUGAGGCCUUAGCCAGGCUAAGUGAGCUCUCCACUACUGGCUUAUAUCCCAGCCAUCUUAAUCAUAAUCUUUCCCCAGCUCCACAACUCUGUUGGUCCAGUGUUAGCCAGGUAGAUGAGUUUAGGAAGAGACACAUUUUCUAGAAACAAUUAUCAAUUUUUUUUUUUUUUUUGUCACAGAGCUCAGUUUCAAAGCUUUGUUCUCUUACUCAUCCUGACUCGUCCAUUUCUUGGCAAAUCUGUUAUUUGAUCCUAUUAGAAUUUU